rnacentral:tRNA from 1 species
GGCCGCGUGGCCUAAUGGCUAAGGCGCUAGAUUUCGGUUCUCCAACAACCAACUCUCUAGAGAUUCCAGGUUCGACUCCUGGCGUGGUCG